AGAGGAUUGGAACGGGGUAGUGAAGGUAGGAUGGAGUGGAUUGGAACGGGGUAGUGAAGGUAGGACAGAGAGGAUUGGAACGGGGGAGUGAAGGUAGGAUGGAGAGGAUUGGAACGGGGUAGUGAAGGUAGGACGGAGAGGAUUGGAACGGGACCUCGGGGGGAGUGAAGGUAGGACGGAGAGGAUUGGAACGGGGUAGUGAAGGUAGGAUGGAGAGGAUUGGAACGGGACCUCGGGGGGAGUGAAGGUAGGACGGAGAGGAUUGGAACGGGGGCGUACUCUGAGUUUCCUCUUGGGGGCUUUGUGUUUGGCGGUUGUUGCUCCCCUACGAUGCGUCACAAACUUCCCUGGAGUCGGACUGAGAGAGAGAGAGAGGGGGG
rnacentral:lncRNA from 1 species